rnacentral:rRNA from 1 species
GACGAACGCUGGCGGCGUGCUUAACACAUGCAAGUCGAACGGUAAGGCCCUUCGGGGUACACGAGUGGCGAACGGGUGAGUAACACGUGGGUGAUCUGCCCUGCACUUCGGGAUAAGCCUGGGAAACUGGGUCUAAUACCGGAUAGGACCAUGGGAUGCAUGUCCUGGGGUGGAAAGCUUUUGCGGUGUGGGAUGGGCGCGGGGCCUAUUAGCUCGUUGGUGGGGUGAUGGCCUACCAAGGCGACGACGGGUAGCCGGCCUGAGAGGGUGACCGGCCACACUGGGACUGAGAUACGGCCCAGACUCCUACGGGAGGCAGCAGUGGGGAAUAUUGCACAAUGGGCGCAAGCCUGAUGCAGCGACGCCGCGUGAGGGAUGACGGCCUUCGGGUUGUAAACCUCUUUCAGCACCGACGAAGCGCAAGUGACGGUAGGUGCAGAAGAAGGACCGGCCAACUACGUGCCAGCCGCCGCCGUAA